rnacentral:tRNA from 1 species
CAACGCGUCGGCCGUGGUGGCGCCGCAGCCGUUCACGAUGGUGGUGGACGCGGUCCGGGAAGCGUGCGAGCGGGUCGAUCCCGCCGCGCUGA